UUCGUGGGUUUCUUCUUCCCCCCCCCAAAAGAAGAAAAAAUGAUAAGAUACGUGUUAAAUACUGCUUUGAACAUUCUCCAGUGGACUCAGAUGGCCUUGAUGUUAAUUCGUCAGAUAUUGCCUGCGGACCCUCAACACCAACAAGAACUGGGUCCUCAACACCAACAGGGACUGGGUCCUCAACACCAACAGGGACUGGGUCCUCAACACCAACAGGGACUGGGUCUUCAACACCAACAGGAACUGGGUCUUCAACACCUCAGAACCAGCCAGCACGCCAACGAUCCACCAUAUCCUCUGGCGCAGAAUCAAACGUAUGAACACCAACGAAAUUUGAGUCACUAUCACCAUCACAUCAUUUCUAUUUGUUGA
rnacentral:lncRNA from 1 species